ACUCAAAUGAAUUGACGGGGACCCGCACAAGCGGUGGAGCGUGUUGUUUAAUUCGAUGGUAAACGAAGAACCUUACCCAGGUUUGACAUCCUUGGAAUUUCUUCGAAAGAAGAGAGUGCUUUAUUGAGCCAAGUGACAGGUGAUGCAUGGCCGUCGUCAGCUCGUGUCGUGAGAUGUUAGGUUAAGUCCUUCAACGAGCGCAACCCUUUUGUUCAGUUGGAUUUCUCUGAACAGACUGCCCUGGUAACAGGGAGGAAGGAGGGGAUGAUGUCAGGUCAGUAUUUCCCUUACAUCUGGGGCCACAAACACGCUACAAUGGCCGGUACAGAGGGCAGCCAACCCGCGAGGGGGAGCAAAUCCCAUCAAAGCCGGUCUCAGUUCGGAUUGUAGGCUGAAACUCGCCUGCAUGAAGCCGGAAUCGCUAGUAAUGGCAGGUCAGCAGACUGCCGUGAAUACGUUCCCGGGUCUUGCACACACCGCCCGU
rnacentral:rRNA from 1 species